ACCAGACUCCUACGGGAGGCAGCAGUGGGGAAUAUUGCACAAUGGGGGAAACCCUGAUGCAGCGACGCCGCGUGAGUGAAGAAGUAUUUCGGUAUGUAAAGCUCUAUCAGCAGGAACGAGACAAGACGGUACCUGACUAAGAAGCCCCGGCUAACUACGUGCCAGCAGCCGCGGUAAUACGUAGGGGGCAAGCGUUAUCCGGAAUCACUGGGUGUAAAGGGAGCGUAGACGGCUGUGCAAGCCUGAAGUGAAAGGCGGGGGCCCAACCCCUGGACUGCUUUGGGAACUGUACGGCUGGAGUGCAGGAGAGGUAAGUGGAAUUCCUAGUGUAGCGGUGAAAUGCGUAGAUAUUAGGAGGAACACCAGUGGCGAAGGCGGCUUACUGGACUGUAACUGACGUUGAGGCUCGAAAGCGUGGGGAGCAAACAGGAUUAGAUACCCGAGUACG
rnacentral:rRNA from 1 species